ensembl:lincRNA
CAGGUGCCAACCUUCUUCUCCUUCUGGCCUGUAGAAGCCUCUGGACUGAUUUAACAGAUUACCUGCUUGGUUUGGGAGAGAGGAAUGUGGUAAAAGGGCAAAAAACCCAGACAAACAAAUAGAUCAGUUAUCCCAGUACAUACUUCUGCAGCACCUUUUAGUUUAGGUGCCAAGCAUAUUCCAGGACUAGGGAGAGGUAUGAGCAGGUGAACUCUGCCCCUCCUCUCCAGAGGAGCCUGCAGGGCACACAGUGGUGGUUAUAUUGGCUGCCAUGGGGAAGCCCUACUGUGUGCCAGCCCUGUGUUACUUCACUCUUUCCAACAACAUAAUGAUACAAAUGCUGCUAUUGUCCUUGCCUAUUUAUUUAUUCAUUUACUCAUUAACAGUGCAGGGGAUUGAGCCCAGAGGCAUCACACUGAGCUGCACCCCAUCUUUUUUUAGUUUUUGAAACAAGGUCUCAUUAAGUCACUAAGUUGCCCAGUCUGAGCUACAACUUUGAUCCUCCUGCCUCAGCCUCCUGAAUAGCAGAAACCACAGAUGGGAGCUACCACACCCAAUCCAAGAAGUUUUUAAUGUCAUAAUGGGGUUCCAGAUGUUCCUCUGCUGACAGAUGGAGAAAUGGUCAGGACAGCUCUGAAUCGAGGUCAUUGUGGUGAUGGCAGUGAUGGAGCCAGCUGUUAACACUGCGGGAAAACUGCCCACUGCAGGAAAACUGCCCGCAGAUGACAUGUUACCAGGACCAGCACACCGAAGCAGGCAGAGGAGCAGAGCCAGCACGUGCAGGUGGCCGGGAACUGCAUUUAUCAAAAAAACCCUGUGUGGCCUCGUGGAAACCCUUCUGCUAUCCCGAUUUGAGUGAGAAUCAAAGUGAUCACAAGUAAAGGCUCUGGAGCAGGCGAGGUCAGACUGAUGGGGGCCACGAUCGAUCCACAAAGUGCCUGGCGCUGCUGUGCUGGACCAAAGGGCUCCAGUCUCUGAAGGUAGCACCGUCCUGCUGGGCAGGAUGAGAGCAAGAUGAAGCUGGGUUACCUCCUGGGCUGAAGGUUGAGGAGAGGCACCUCAAGCCCCAGGCUUCAAGCUGGACCUGGCCUAGCCCGUUGCCAAUGCCGUAUUAGGGUCCACAGGCAGGUGACAAACACAGCAGCCUCCACUGUCACAGGCUCCCACCCAGCAUCACCUCCCCCUCCACGCUCCAUGUGGGGGAGGCUGCCCAGACUUCAGGAGAAGGGCAGGGUGGGGAGGAGCUCGAGCUGAGGGGCAGCCCUGCACACCCUGGCUGCGGGACUCUCUUUUUCCAGCCAGAUAAUAAAACCUACAGUGGGAAAUACUCAUACGCCAAACCCAUCCCGUUCCUAGGUCUGUAGGCAACAGCUGUCUGUGAGUGUGUGAGAAAAGACCAAUUAAACCACACAGAAGUAUCUUCCAUAGUAGGCAAAAUAUGGGAGCAACGCAAUCUCCAUUAACAGUGGUGGGGACAAAAGGCACUUGUCCGUGCGAGUGCCCUAUCCUCAGUUUCUGAGCACCCUUGUCCAGAAUCAAUUAACCAUGCAUCUCAGACUUUAUUUCCACACUCUCAAUGUCAAAUUUACUACCUGUUCCAUAUUGUCUUAGUCAUACAACUUUCAUUUUGAAAUGAAGAAGGGUGCAUGUGCAAAAUUUGUUCAUUACUUCUCAAAAUUGCUUUUAGUUACUCUGGAUCCUUGUAAUUCCAUUAUGACUUCUGCAAUCAGCUUGUUGAUAUCUGCAAAGAAAUGACUGAGUUAAUCUAUUGAUAACUCUAGGAAAUACAUUUUAACAAUACUUUUACCUAUCGAUAAUAUGGUGUGUCUUUCCUUUUAGUUAAGUCUUUAUUAUUUCAAAAUGUUUUGUAGUUUUCAAAAUCUAAUACUUGUUUCUUUGCUAAAUCUAUUCUUAAGUACUUUAUUCUUUUUGGUGCUAUUACACAUGGAAUUGUUUUCCUGUUUUUUUUUUUUGUUUUCCUAAUUUAAGUUUCUAUUCCAUUA